rnacentral:sRNA from 2 species
AUAUCUCUCUGUACGGGAAGGAUGAGAAGCUUCGACUAAGGUUCGAUUCGAGCGCAGCGAGAAAGCGUUGCCGCAGGCAACGACCCGAAGGGCGAAGCGCGCAGCGCUGAGUCAUCCUUCC